rnacentral:rRNA from 1 species
UACGGGGGGAGCAAGCGUUGUUCGGAUUUACUGGGCGUAAAGGGCGCGUAGGCGGCGUAACAAGUCACUUGUGAAAUCUCCGGGCUUAACCCGGAGCGGCCAAGUGAUACUGUUGUGCUAGAGUGCGGAAGGGGCUACUGGAAUUCUCGGUGUAGCGGUGAAAUGCGUAGAUAUCGAGAGGAACACCUGCGGCGAAGGCGAGUCUCUGGACGACACCUGACACUGAGGCACGAAAGCCAGGGGAGCAAACAGG